UCUAUCAUCUCGGAUAGGCUGUUUUGCAAACCAAUUAAUUUUCUGUUAUCACCUGUAUAGAAAGGAAGCUGACGGAAGGUGCAGUUGUGUCGAUGUAAAGGUCUGGAGGGACUGGGAAUAAAAUAAUGACUCAUUAUAUAUUCCGGGAGCAGGCAUGGAGCCUGAGAAGACAAGAGACAAGCCAGGAGCUAAAGAACAAUAGAAAAGAGAUCGUGGCCCCUGACGCUGAACUGCAUACGUUAGCUGAGACAACGUCUUCCCUCAAGAGCGCCUGUGUUUUGUAACCUAGAGAAAGCAGCCCUUCAGAGCGGAAAAUAGAUGUCCUAGGAUGAGGGCGACACCCGCAGGACAAAGUGAGAAUCUGC
rnacentral:lncRNA from 1 species